rnacentral:rRNA from 1 species
UAGGGAAUCUUCGGCAAUGGACGAAAGUCUGACCGAGCAACGCCGCGUGAGUGAAGAAGGUUUUCGGAUCGUAAAACUCUGUUGUUAGAGAAGAACAAGGACGUUAGUAACUGAACGUCCCCUGACGGUAUCUAACCAGAAAGCCACGGCUAACUACGUGCCAGCAGCCGCGGUAAUACGUAGGUGGCAAGCGUUGUCCGGAUUUAUUGGGCGUAAAGCGAGCGCAGGCGGUUUCUUAAGUCGGAUGUGAAAGCCCCCGGCUCAACCGGGGAGGGUCAUUGGAAACUGGGGGACUUGAGUGCAGAAGAGGAGAGUGGAAUUCCAUGUGUAGCGGUGAAAUGCGUAGAUAUAUGGAGGAACACCAGUGGCGAAGGCGGCUCUCUGGUCUGUAACUGACGCUGAGGCUCGAAAGCGUGGGGAGCAAACAGG